UACAGAGGUCUCAAGCGUUGUUCGGAUUCAUUGGGCGUAAAGGGUGUGUAGGUGGCGCCGUAAGUCGGGUGUGAAAUUUCGGAGCUUAACUCCGAAACUGCAUUCGAUACUGCGGUGCUUGAGGACUGGGAGAGGAGACUGGAAUUCAUGGUGUAGCAGUGAAAUGCGUAGAGAUCAUGAGGAAGACCAGUGGCGAAGGCGGGUCUCUGGACAGUUCCUGACACUGAGACACGAAGGCUAGGGGAGCAAACGGG
rnacentral:rRNA from 1 species